UCUGCAUGUGCCCCUAUAAUUCCUGCAUAAUGAUACGCCUUAUUUCUGCUUUUGUUUCCCAGAAAUACCUAGCACAGCAAAGAUUCAGUAUCUGUAGACCUGGAUUUUCAUUACUAUUUUUUUUUUUCAGGUUGUCCUGCUCCUAUAUUAGUGUUUCAACCAAAUGGUAUGGCAUCUUUUUCCUCAGGCACCCAAAAAGCCUCCUCCCUUGCAGCAAGUUUAAAAAGAAACUUUGACGUGCUUGUAACUAAUGCGUCUGGAAAGUUGAUUUAACGAGAGGGAGGUGUUUGGAAAUCUGCAUUUUCACAACUGCUGCAGGUGAUUCUUGUGCACGCUUUGGUUUCCAGAUCACUCCCCCAAGCAGUCCACACCUACUCUAGUCACAGGCGGCCGAUCCUUCUCCAGCCACCUUUGCGGCAACCUGUCUGUUGGCCAAAUUCUCUCCUACUCCAGAAGCCAUGACUGAUACAGCUGCUCAAUGGA